AAUAAAGUUUAAACACUUUGAACAGCGCGCUGCGCCUGCUGGGAGUUGUAGUCUGCGGCGGAUCCGCUCACGGGCUGCAGGCUGGCACCGAGCUUAGCGCAGGAGGAGGAGGGGAGCCAUCCAGCCGGGCACGGACGGAGCUGUGGGAGGCAACAAGAACAGAAGUUGGGGAAACUAGGACAGCUAACAGCCAAACUAUCUGAGGUCUCCAUCCCAUUGGCCAACUUUCUGAUCAGAGAUUCCUCAUCUACAGUCUUUGAAACAAGCUAGUCCUGUGACUUGAGGUCACCACAAUGCG